UACAGAGGGGGCAAGCGUUGUUCGGAAUUACUGGGCGUAAAGGGCGCGUAGGCGGCCCGCUAAGUCGAACGUGAAAUCCCCGGGCUCAACCCGGGAACUGCGUCCGAUACUGGUGGGCUUGAAUCCGGGAGAGGGAUGCGGAAUUCCAGGUGUAGCGGUGAAAUGCGUAGAUAUCAGGAGGAACACCGGUGGCGAAGGCGGCUACCUGGACAGAGUCUGACGCUGAGGCACGAAAGCUAGGGGAGCAAACAGG
rnacentral:rRNA from 1 species